CAUACGCUUGGCGUUUUCGUUUACGGUUAGAAUCCGAUUUUUCAUUUGCUUCAUGAAAAAAUCGGCCUCGUUGACGCAUAAAGCCAGGGAUCUCAUUUUUAGAAGACUUUUUUAAGGACUCAUUAUUCUUGCUUUUAUCAUUACUAACACUAUCCUCGUCUUCAUCGCUGUUCCAAUCGAACUUGAUAAAAUCAGAAUUAUUUUCGACAGCCUUGUCGUGUACAGGGUUAGUUUUUCUACCUUCUCUUUUUGGUAUACCUAAAAGAAUGGUAGGUUCACCACGUUUUAUUGCUUCCUCUGGUAAAUCAGGUUUUUCCAGCGGCUCUAAUGGAUCGGCUUUUCCAAAUUGAAUAUAUGGAUCGUUUUUGUUUGAAAUUUCUACUCCACCUUUAUCACGUAUUCCUUCUGAAUCAUUAUCAUUACGUGAUUUUUUACUUCCAAUUUCAACCAUGGGUUCUUCUUGAUCCAGAAGCGUAAAAUUGUUAUUCAGAAGCAUUUCGUCAUAAGCGUCUGAAUUUUUAUCCUUUUCCUUUCUUUUAGAUUUAAAUUUACUCGGUUUAUCGUUUUUAAAAAUCCUCCUUGGAAGUGGUUCAGUUCUCUCAUUUUUACGCUUUUUAUAAUUAUUGCGGUUAAAUGACACGCUUUUUUUACCCAUCUCUAAGACAUGGAUAGAAUGGUUUUCUAUACCUAUCUUGUAGAAUUCUUAUAAAAAUCAAUAUAUGACUAAUUGAACCACAAUUAUUAAUCACAUAAGAUCUUUGAAAAUUUGGUGGUGAACAACUU